GCCAUAUUAACCAUAAAUCCUCUCAACUGGGCGCAUGCAAGCUGCUCUGUGACACAAUACACUGAGAGUGAGCAAACAGGAGGGGGCCCCUGGGAAGUCUCUGCAUUGGAGUUCCCACACUUCCCUCUGGACACCUCCUGUACCCAAAGGGGCAGGGAGCAUGACCACCUGACAUACAGUCUGUUCCACAUGUUUGGGUCAGUCUGUAUAUUAAAUAUCAGUACAAUUUAAACUCUAUCUUAUUUUUAGAGUUACAAUAUAGAAGUGGUUGUUGUUUUUCCCAUCUAGUGGAUUUUUUGUGGACCCCUUGAUGCCAUUCAUUAGAGACCACUGGGGAGCCCACGAGCCUUUGGAGUCAAAAGAAAGAAAAAACAAAGAACUUAGAAGACUGACUUAACCUCUCUGAGCUUCAUUUUAUUCUUCUUUAAGAUGGACAAGACCUCUCCCUGUCCUCUAUCCUCUAUAGAGAUGGAGAAGAAGCAAGGUGUGGACGCUGGUAGAAUCUCCAAGAAAGAGCCAAGUACUCCCUCCGCCUUCCAUGGUGGUCCCCUUUCUGACCCUUUGGCUCCUAAUGGAGAGAGGGCAUGGUGAUGAUCUCCCUGGGAAGUAUUGAGAUCUGAGACUAGAAGAGAUCCAUGCUCAGCUUCAGGUCUGGAUGCACCUGCCAGAUGCUGAGUCCGAAAGAGCUCCUCAGCCCUACACAGCAUGAGAUAGCUGAGUAAGACAUUUGCCCAAUGCCUAGGAGGCCUGGAUGAGACAGACUCAUGGAGAGCCACUUAGCAUCCUAAAAAGGAAUGAUAGGGCAGCCAAAUGGUUUUCUUUCUGGUAGUUUGAACUGAACACUAUGAAGACUGGAGAGUUCUCAGGGGUGAGAGAGGGAAUUGGGAG
rnacentral:lncRNA from 1 species